AACUGGAAAAAUCACUCAAAAAAGUAGAACCCCAAAAAACUUCUGGACUAUAGUAUAACUACUGAAAUGGAGCGCGCACCAGCCGUCGAGAUGCAACCGCUCGGACGCUCGAUCAUAGAAAACGAAUCCGGCGAAUAUGAGGACGGAAAGGUCUGCUGGUCUGCAAUUGAGAUGCAAAGAAUCAUGAUUUAUAUUCAGGAGACCAAACAGGGUAAUAAUCUAAAUUUUCAGCUCGAGAACACAAACACGAGCAGCAAUCUUGAAGGCACAAAUUUGCCAAUAAUAGAACCAGAUAUAGAUAGAAAGGACAUCUUCACUCCCACUUAAUCCAAGCAAUUCACACUAAAGAAGUCUCCAACUUUCCUUUGGUUCGAGUCAAUCACAACUUUAGAAACAACCUUCAAUAAUCUGCAUUCAAGAGGUCAACUGAAUUAAAAAUACAGGAUCAUAAACGUGUUGUUGAAGAUUUGUAGAAACAAAUUAAACGAGCUCUAUCUUCUUUUCACUGUUUUUUUCUUCUGAGGACAGAAAAAUAGAAGUACCUCUGUUGGACCGCUCAAGUAGUAAAAGGGGUCAUUGCCCUUGCCUACACAUGGGCCAUGGCUCCAAAUUCAGAAGUCACGAUCAUUUGCAUUCAGAGACUAUCUUCAGAAGGAUCUUGUUUGUGUUAGUGCUUCAGUAUUGUCUGCGGCAAAGGAUUAAUAAGUUUGUUUUCACACAUGUGCGCAUAGCAGCUAGCUGCGGUUGAUAUGUUUGUUGUGUAUCUUGGCUGAUUUUCCUGAAUUCAGUCAUUGAGCACCGCUUAAGAAGAAUGACAAGCGUGACCAAAAAUCAGUUUGGUUUCAUGCCUGGGAGGUCGACCAUGGAAGCCAUUUUCUUGGUACGACAACUUAUGGAGAGAUAUAGGGAGCAUAAGAAGGACUUGCAUAUGGUGUUCAUUGACUUGGAGAAGGCCUAUGAUAAGAUACCGCGGAAUGUCAUGUGGUGGGCCUUGGAGAAACACAAAGUCCCAG
rnacentral:lncRNA from 1 species